GACAUUAUCAAACCUUUUUGUAGUUGCAAUCAGCGUCAGAAAACAAAUAAUAAUUACAACUUUCAACAACGGAUCUCUUGGUUCUGGCAUCGAUGAAGAACGCAGCGAAAUGCGAAAAGUAGUGUGAAUUGCAGAAUUCAGUGAAUCAUCGAAUCUUUGAACGCACAUUGCGCCCCUUGGUAUUCCAUGGGGCAUGCCUGUUCGAGCGUCAUUUUGUACCCUCAAGCACUGCUUGGUGUUGGGCGUUUGUCCUGCAAAGGGCUCGCCUGAAAGCGAUUGGCGGCCAACGUACUGGUGGUAGAGCGCAGCACAUUUUGCGUCUCUCCCCUCUGCGUCGGCGUCCAUGAAGCCUUUUUUCAACGUUUGACCUCGGAUCAGGUAGGGAUACCCGCUGAACUUAAGCAUAUCAAUAAGCGGAGGA
rnacentral:rRNA from 1 species